rnacentral:ribozyme from 1 species
AAAAAAAAAAAAAAAAAAAAAAAAAACGGGAGAAGCAAAGGGAAUGGAGACAUACUUGGUUGUCUCAAUCGUUGUCCAACAGGGUUCUCUCUCUGAUGUGUUGUUUCUUCCUUCU